rnacentral:rRNA from 1 species
GUCGAGCGGACAGAUGGGAGCUUGCUCCCUGAUGUUAGCGGCGGACGGGUGAGUAACACGUGGGUAACCUGCCUGUAAGACUGGGAUAACUCCGGGAAACCGGGGCUAAUACCGGAUGGUUGUUUGAACCGCAUGGUUCAAACAUAAAAGGUGGCUUCGGCUACCACUUACAGAUGGACCCGCGGCGCAUUAGCUAGUUGGUGAGGUAACGGCUCACCAAGGCAACGAUGCGUAGCCGACCUGAGAGGGUGAUCGGCCACACUGGGACUGAGACACGGCCCAGACUCCUACGGGAGGAGCAGUAGGGAAUCUUCCGCAAUGGACGAAAGUCUGACGGAGCAACGCCGCGUGAGUGAUGAAGGUUUUCGGAUCGUAAAGCUCUGUUGUUAGGGAAGAACAAGUACCGUUCGAAUAGGGCGGUACCUUGACGGUACCUAACCAGAAAGCCA